UACGUAGGGUGCAAGCGUUGUCCGGAAUUAUUGGGCGUAAAGAGCUCGUAGGCGGUUUGUCGCGUCUGCUGUGAAAACUCGGGGCUUAACUCCGGGCCUGCAGUGGGUACGGGCAGACUAGAGUGCGGUAGGGGAGACUGGAAUUCCUGGUGUAGCGGUGAAAUGCGUAGAUAUCGAGAGGAACACCUGCGGCGAAGGCGGGUUGCUGGGCCGACACUGACGCUGAUGCGCGAAAGCCAGGGGAGCGAACGGG
rnacentral:rRNA from 1 species